rnacentral:rRNA from 1 species
AGUAACACGUAAACAACCUGCCUUCAGGAUGGGGACAACAGACGGAAACGACUGCUAAUACCGAAUAAGUUCCAAGGGCCGCAUGGCCCAUGGAAGAAAAGGUGGCCUCUACCUGUAAGCUAUCGCCUGAAAAGGGGUUUGCGUCUGAUUAGCUGGUUGGAGGGGUAACGGCCCACCAAGGCGACGAUCAGUAGCCGGUCUGAGAGGAUGAACGGCCACACUGGAACUGAGACACGGUCCAG